rnacentral:rRNA from 1 species
UACGGAGGGUGCAAGCGUUAUCCGGAAUCAUUGGGCGUAAAGCGCUCGCAGGCUGUUUAUUAAGUCAAGUGUAAAAUCUUGAAGCCCAACUUCAAAUGCGUGCUUGAAACUGGUAAACUAGAGUCUUUCAGAGGUGCGUGGAAUUCUGUGUGUAGGGGUAAAAUCCGUAGAUACACAGAGGAACAUCAAAAGCGAAGGCAGCGCACUGGGAAAGUACUGACGCUCAGGAGCGAAAGCGUGGGUAGCGAACGGG